CCUACGGGAGGCUGCAGUAGGGAAUCUUCCACAAUGGGCGCAAGCCUGAUGGAGCAACACCGCGUGAGUGAAGAAGGGUUUCGGCUCGUAAAGCUCUGUUGUUGGAGAAGAACGUGCGUGAGAGUAACUGUUCACGCAGUGACGGUAUCCAACCAGAAAGUCACGGCUAACUACGUGCCAGCAGCCGCGGUAAUACGUAGGUGGCAAGCGUUAUCCGGAUUUAUUGGGCGUAAAGCGAGCGCAGGCGGUUGCUUAGGUCUGAUGUGAAAGCCUUCGGCUUAACCGAAGAAGUGCAUCGGAAACCGGGCAACUUGAGUGUAGAAGAGGACAGUGGAACUCCAUGUGUAGCGGUGGAAUGCGUAGAUAUAUGGAAGAACACCAGUGGCGAAGGCGGCUGUCUGGUCUGCAACUGACGCUGAGGCUCGAAAGCAUGGGUAGCGAACAGGAUUAGAUACCCGGGUAGUC
rnacentral:rRNA from 1 species